rnacentral:misc_RNA from 1 species
AAUAAAGCCUUUGUCAUAUUUCAAGGAAAAAUAUGAUGUCAGCAUGGCAUAUUAUACCGAUGAAAUUGCAGCUGUUUUGCACAAACAAUACCAGGAACUGGGGAAACCAUUACUAUUCCUGUUACAUGGGUUGAAUACUGAUAGCAACAAUUUUGCAGUGCCAGCAAAUUUUGAGGGGAUCGAUACGUUUGAAACUGAUAUGAAUACUUUGCAUCCUAUUUUGACCGAAUGUCGUGUCUUGAAAUCGGAGCUGGAGCUUGCUCUUAUUCAAUUUGCCAACGAUAUUAGCUCAGAAGCUCAUGUUCAGGUUAUGAGAAAUAUCAAGGUGGGCAUGAAGGAAUAUCAACUGGAAAGCUUAUUUCUUCACCACACUUACAUGUAUGGUGGAUGUAGGCACUGCUCGUACACCUGCAUAUGUGCUACUGGAGAUAAUAGUGCUGUUCUUCACUAUGGACAUGCAGCAGCGCCAAACGACAGAACGUUGGAAGAUGGUGAUAUGGCUUUGUUUGAUAUGGGAGCAGAAUACCAGUUUUAUGGAUCUGACAUUACUUGUUCAUUCCCUGUGAAUGGUAAAUUUACAAGUGACCAGUUGCUGAUAUAUAAUGCUGUCCUCAAGGCCCAUGAUGCUGUUAUAUCAGUUAUGAAACCUGGAAUAAACUGGGUUGAAAUGCACAAAUUAGCGGAGAAGACUAUUCUUGAGUCAUUGACUGAGGGUUCUGUACUAGUUGGAGAUGUAAAGGACAUGAUGGCCGAGCAUCUUGGGGCUGUUUUCAUGCCACAUGGUUUGGGGCAUUUCCUUGGCAUCGAUACUCAUGAUCCUGGAGGUUACUUGCAGGGUUUGGAGAGGCCGGAAGAACCAGGGCUAAAUGCUUUACGUACAGUUCGAGAUCUUAAAGAAGGAAUGGUCAUCACUGUGGAGCCCGGAUGCUACUUCAUUGAUGCAUUACUAGAUCCGGCCCUGGAGAAUAGUAAAACCUCCAAGUUUUUCAACGUAGAAGCAGUGAACAGAUUUAGAGGCUUUGGCGGUGUUCGGAUUGAAAGUGAUUUGCUAGUCACUGCCAAUGGCUGCAGAAACAUGACCAAUUGUCCUCGAGAGACAUGGGAAAUAGAGGCAGUUAUGGCAGGAUCCCCAUGGCCAAUUGUCAAAAAACCCGUCGCGGCCAGGUAGAUUAGUCGUUGGUCGUCACGAUAAUUAAGGAAUGCUGCGCCGAAAAUGGCAAUCAAAUGGGCCUGAGUUAUUGUCUGCAUCAGGUGCACUUGAAUUAGGCGUUCUGCUCUUCUGUUCUAAUUUCUAAAAUAAAGUAUAAACUCUGACCUCAAUUUGGUUCUAAAAUAAAUACCAUCUAUUAUCUCAA